UUCGGAGCUAGAGACCGGCGCACGGGUGCGUAACGCGUAUGCAACCUACCUUUCACAGGGGGAUAGCCCAGAGAAAUUUGGAUUAAUACCCCAUGGUAUAUUAGUAUGGCAUCAUAUUAUUAUUAAAGUUCCAACGAUGAAAGAUGGGCAUGCGUCCCAUUAGCUAGAUGGUAAGGUAACGGCUUACCAUGGCGACGAUGGGUAGGGGUCCUGAGAGGGAGAUCCCCCACACUGGUACUGAGACACGGACCAGACUCCUACGGGAGGCAGCAGUGAGGAAUAUUGGUCAAUGGGCGCAAGCCUGAACCAGCCAUGCCGCGUGCAGGAUGAAGCAUCUAUGGUGUGUAAACUGCUUUUAUACGGGAAGAAACCCUGCCACGUGUGGCAGAUUGACGGUACCGUAAGAAUAAGGACCGGCUAACUCCGUGCCAGCAGCCGCGGUAAUACGGAGGGUCCAAGCGUUAUCCGGAAUCAUUGGGUUUAAAGGGUCCGUAGGCGGUCAGGUAAGUCAGUGGUGAAAGCCCAUCGCUCAACGGUGGAACGGCCAUUGAUACUGCCUGACUUGAAUUACUGGGAAGUAACUAGAAUAUGUAGUGUAGCGGUGAAAUGCUUAGAUAUUACAUGGAAUACCAAUUGCGAAGGCAGGUUACUACCAGUUUAUUG
rnacentral:rRNA from 1 species